CGCACAUUCAGGUUGUUGGUGUAAAGUCUGACCUUUCCCAGCGACGCAGUUUCCAGAGCCUGGUCUUCUGGCCCUGGGGCUAACUUCCUGGUCAGCGCUCCGUGCCAGCCUCCCACGCCAGCACCUGCCGCCUGGCUAUGUGCUGGAAAACAGAAGCGCUGUGGCGGGGCAGUGGUGUUCUCCGAAAACGCGUGCCCACUUGGAAGCUGUGAUGGAAUUCGGGUCUUUGAGGCUGGGGUUGGUGGGGAUCCUGAGAUGCCGUCCAGGGGAGUCGCCAAUCCCGGGACGGAGUGUCCUGAGAAGGGACGGAUGGGAAGACAGGCCCCCGGAGGCCCCUGUGAGGAUGGAGGUAGAGUUGGGGGUGAGGUGGCCACAAGCCAAGGAAGCCUGGAGCCCCCCUACGUGGGACCCGGCAGGAAGGGUCCUCCCCCAGAGCCCAGAGACAAGCGCUUCUCUGAUUGGCUGACGGCAACUUCUUCCGCCCCGCCUGCCUUGUGGAUCAGAAGCAUCUCCGGUGAUGCAGCCGGAACGGGACACUGCGGGGACAACCUCAAGGCAGGUUGGAUAAGACCCGGCCCCACAGACAGAGUGCGUCUCUCAAAAUUGCGUUGUCUCAUCUGGGGAGUUUCAUUGUCUGGCUGUGUCCGGCAGGCCCCGAAGGCGUCCGUGGGUGGAGCCACCUCACCUGCUGAGCCCCGUCGGAGGACGCGUCUCCGUCCAGUUUUGCUUGGUCUCCUCUUGAGCCUGGGGGCUCCCCACCCAGAUCAGCACGACGAUGCCAGGAAGCGAGGGCCACGCCCUGGAGACCAGCCCUCGGCUGGAGUGGUUCCUGGCCCCCUCCUCCCUGGCGGACCUGGCCGCUCCGUCACCCUGGACCCAGAUGCCCUUCAGACCCGCACUGCGUGUCAACACAUCUCCAGCCCUCAGGGGUCCCGCGGGGCCUCAGAGACCCUCCAGCCCCUGCCGAGCUGACACAGGCGAGGUGCUCAGGGAGCCUCUCCUGGGCAUGGGCACGCCCUGUGCUGUAGGGUGACGCCCGGGCCCCUGCCCGUAUCCUCCGCCUUUAAGAAAGAGACACGAAGGGCAAAAAGUGGGCCCGCUGCUCAGAGGCCGGGAACAGGCUUCAGGCCAGGCGGUGGGCUCUCUCCAUUCCGGCCCACCCCUGCCGGGCCCGGCCCCGCCCGUCACCCCACAGCAGACCUCACCCACCUGUCCCCUUUCGUGACCCUGCUG
rnacentral:lncRNA from 1 species